rnacentral:rRNA from 1 species
GACGAACGCUGGCGGCGUGCUUAACACAUGCAAGUCGAACGGAAAGGCCCUGCUUGCAGGGUACUCGAGUGGCGAACGGGUGAGUAACACGUGGGUGAUCUGCCCUGCACUUCGGGAUAAGCUUGGGAAACUGGGUCUAAUACCGGAUAGGAACCAUCUUUAGUGUGGUGGUUGGAAAGUUUUUUCGGUGUAGGAUGAGCUCGCGGCCUAUCAGCUUGUUGGUGGGGUGAUGGCCUACCAAGGCGGCGACGGGUAGCCGGCCUGAGAGGGUGUACGGCCACAUUGGGACUGAGAUACGGCCCAGACUCCUACGGGAGGCAGCAGUGGGGAAUAUUGCACAAUGGGCGCAAGCCUGAUGCAGCGACGCCGCGUGGGGGAUGAAGGCCUUCGGGUUGUAAACUCCUUUCGCUAGGGACGAAGCUUUUUGUGACGGUACCUAGAUAAGAAGCACCGGCUAACUACGUG